UGCCCCGUGGCCUAGUGAUUAAUGUGUCUGCCUCGGAUGCGGGAGGUCGUGGGUUCUAUCCCCGGUCGAGACAU